AAUGAACGCUGGCGGCAGGCCUAACACAUGCAAGUCGAACGGGUCCUUCGGGACUAGUGGCGGACGGGUGAGUAACGCGUGGGAACAUACCCAAAGGUACGGAAUAGCCUCUGGAAACGGAGAGUAAUACCGUAUGUGCCCUUCGGGGGAAAGAUUUAUCGCCUUUGGAUUGGCCCGCGUUGGAUUAGGUAGUUGGUGGGGUAAUGGCCUACCAAGCCGACGAUCCAUAGCUGGUUUGAGAGGAUGAUCAGCCACACUGGGACUGAGACACGGCCCAGACUCCUACGGGAGGCAGCAGUGGGGAAUCUUAGACAAUGGGGGAAACCCUGAUCUAGCCAUGCCGCGUGAUCGAUGAAGGCCUUAGGGUUGUAAAGAUCUUUCAGAUGGGAAGAUAAUGACGGUACCAUCAGAAGAAGCCCCGGCUAACUCCGUGCCAGCAGCCGCGGUAAUACGGAGGGGGCUAGCGUUAUUCGGAAUUACUGGGCGUAAAGCGCACGUAGGCGGAUUGGAAAGUCAGAGGUGAAAUCCCAGGGCUCAACCUUGGAACUGCCUUUGAAACUCCCAGUCUUGAGGUCGAGAGAGGUGAGUGGAAUUCCGAGUGUAGAGGUGAAAUUCGUAGAUAUUCGGAGGAACACCAGUGGCGAAGGCGGCUCACUGGCUCGAUACUGACG
rnacentral:rRNA from 1 species